UUGGAGGGCAAGUCUGGUGCCAGCAGCCGCGGUAAUUCCAGCUCCAAUAGCGUAUAUUAAAGUUGUUGCAGUUAAAAAGCUCGUAGUUGAAUUUCGGGAUUAGUACGUUGGUCGUGCCUUCGGUACGUACUGGUGUUACUGAUUUCUACCUUCUGACGAACCAUCAUGUCAUUAAUUUGGUGUGGUGAGGAAUCAGGACUGUUACUUUGAAAAAAUUAGAGUGUUUAAAGCAGGCUCGCGCUUGAAUACAUUAGCAUGGAAUAAUGAAAUAGGACGUUGACCCUAUUUUGUUGGUUUCUAGGAUUGACGUAAUGAUUAAUAGGGAUAGUUGGGGGCAUUAGUAUUCAAUUGUCAGAGGUGAAAUUCUUGGAUUUAUUGAAGACUAACUACUGCGAAAGCAUUUGCCAAGGAUGUUUUCAUUAAUCAAGUACGAAAGUUAGGGGAUCGAAGACGAUCAGAUACCGUCGUAGUCUUAACCAUAAACUAUGCCGACUAGGGAUCGGAUGAUGUUAUUUUUAAUGACUCAUUCGGCGCCUUACGGGAAAC
rnacentral:rRNA from 1 species